AUUGAACGCUGGCGGCAGGCCUAACACAUUCAAGUCGAGCGGAUGAAGGGAGCUUGCUCCUGGAUUCAGCGGCGGACGGGUGAGUAAUGCCUAGGAAUCUGCCUGGUAGUGGGGGAUAACGUCCGGAAACGGGCGCUAAUACCGCAUACGUCCUGAGGGAGAAAGUGGGGGAUCUUCGGACCUCACGCUAUCAGAUGAGCCUAGGUCGGAUUAGCUAGUUGGUGGGGUAAAGGCCUACCAAGGCGACGAUCCGUAACUGGUCUGAGAGGAUGAUCAGUCACACUGGAACUGAGACACGGUCCAGACUCCUACGGGAGGCAGCAGUGGGGAAUAUUGGACAAAGGGCGAAAGCCUGAUCCAGCCAUGCCGCGUGUGUGAAGAAGGUCUUCGGAUUGUAAAGCACUUUAAGUUGGGAGGAAGGGCAGUAAGUUAAUACCUUGCUGUUUUGACGUUACCAACAGAAUAAGCACCGGCUAACUUCGUG
rnacentral:rRNA from 1 species